rnacentral:rRNA from 1 species
ACAGCAGCAGCCGCGGUAAUACGAAGGGGGCUAGCGUUGUUCGGAAUUACUGGGCGUAAAGCGCACGUAGGCGGAUAUUUAAGUCAGGGGUGAAAUCCCAGAGCUCAACUCUGGAACUGCCUUUGAUACUGGGUAUCUUGAGUAUGGAAGAGGUGAGUGGAAUUCCGAGUGUAGAGGCGAAAUUCGUAGAUAUUCGGAGGAACACCAGUGGCGAAGGCGGCUCACUGGUCCAUUACUGACGCUGAGGUGCGAAAGCGUGGGGAGCAAACAGGAUUAGAUACCCCAGUAGUCCCUGUCUCUUAUAC